rnacentral:pre_miRNA from 1 species
UGCAGCGUCUUAUUUAAAAAAGAUUAUGAUUAGUAUUUUUAUUGUUAUUAGAUGAUAAAACAUGAAUAGUACUUUAUGUGUGACUAAAUUUUUUAAUAUUUUUUAUAAAUUUUUUAAAUAAGACGGAUAGUCAAAACGCUAAACACGAAUAUCUAUGGCUUCACUUA